ACGGCUCAGUAACACGUGGAUAACCUAACCUUAGGACUGGAAUAACCCCGGGAAACUGGGGACAAUGCCAGAUAUGUGGGGCUGCCUGGAAUGGUACCUCAUUGAAAUGCUCCGGCGCCUAAGGAUGGAUCUGCGGCAGAUUAGGUAGUUGGCGGGGUAAAUGCCCACCAAGCCAGUAAUCUGUACGGGUUGUGAGAGCAAGAGCCCGGAGAUGGAUUCUGAGACACUAAUCCAGGCCCUACGGGGUGCAGCAGGCGCGAAAACUUUACAAUGCGGGCAACCGUGAUAAGGGAACCUCGAGUGCCUGUAAAUGCAGGCUGUUCAGAUGCCUAAAACACAUCUGGAGAAAGGGCCGGGCAAGACCGGUGCCAGCCGCCGCGGUAAUACCGGCGGCUCGAGUGGUGGCCACUUUUAUUGGGCUUAAAGCGUUCGUAGCUGGGUUGUUAAGUCUCUUGGGAAAUCUGGCGGCUUAACCGUCAGGCGUCUAAGGGAUACUGGCAAUCUUGGAACCGGGAGAGGUGAGGGGUACUUCGGGGGUAGGAGUGAAAUCCUGUAAUCCUCGAGGGACCACCUGUGGCGAAGGCGCCUCACCAGAACGGCUUCGACAGUGAGGGACGAAAGCUGGGGGAGCAAACCGGAUUAGAUACCCGGGUAGUCCCAGCCGUAAACUAUGCGCGUUAGGUGUAUCGGUGACCACGAGUUACCGAGGUGCCGAAGGGAAACCGUGAAACGUGCCGCCUGGGAAGUACGGUCGCAAGGCUGAAACUUAAAGGAAUUGGCGGGGGAG
rnacentral:rRNA from 1 species